rnacentral:lncRNA from 1 species
AUGAAUUUUUUAAAAAUCAUUGCCGUUAUAUUUUUUUCUGUACAACGGCUUCGGUUGUCUAAAUCUAUUUAUCUGUACCAUUCGACUAGCUAUAAAAACUCAAAUUCGUCUUCUCAAUUUUUUAAAAAUAAUGAAAUAACUAAGUAUAAGCAAAAACAACCUUUCUUUUAUAUUUAUCACAAACAUAGGAAAAAAAAAUAUAAAAUGACAAAUGAAGGAAUCCUACAUAGUAACAACCUUUUUGAUAAAAAAAAGACUCGUAGGAUAUACACAAUUGAUAACCGAACAUUUAAUAAGGUUAUAAAAAAAUAUUUUUUAAUUUUUUCUUUCCUUAAUAAUAUAAACAUUAAACAAAUGAUUAAAAAUUAUAACUAUUGUUCGAUUAAUAAAAAACACAAAUAUAAAAAUGAUUUGUAUAAUUACAAUUUUCAUAAGAAUAUAAAUAAAAGAAAUCAUGUUGUUAUAUAUAUGAUAUUAGCACCUAAAGGAUCAAUACAUGAAGAAAAAACAAAACAUAUAUUAUCUGAUCCUAUUAAUAAUUAUCCAUGGGAGAUUAGUAUUCCUUUUCAUGAAACUAUAACUAAAGAAUUAAGUCCUUAUUAUAACUUUUUAAAAUGUGAAUGGGCGUAUUUAAAUCAUAAAAAUGAUAAAAGAAGAUCAUGUGGUAAAAUAGAAGGAGGCUUAGAAAAUUAUACAGGUCAUGGGUUACAAUUAGAAAAAGGGAAAGAUAGACAAAGAUAUGAACAUAUACCUUAUUAUGAUGAUCAUGGGGUAGAAUGGAGAAAUAUAAAUAAAGAAACAGACAUUAUGUCAUUUGAUAUACAACCAGAUGGUAAUCAGGAUGUUUCUUUUUUAGAAACAGAGGAAGAUAUAGAAAAUAGACAAUGGGGUAAUUGGAAUUACAGUUGUUCAAAAGAAACAACUCAAUUAAAUUCUGUUUGGAGAGAUCCAGUUUUAUCCAAAGAUUUAUCAAAUAUGAUUUAUCCAUGGACACAUAAGUCUACAGAAAAUCAUAUUAUUCCUUUUGGUUUUCCUACAGCUACUACUUUUAUACCUGAUAUAAAAAUCGAAUGGGAGUUAGCUGCAAGAGGGUUUUUUGGUGGUUACUUUGAAGAUCCUAAUUAUAACAGAAUAAAAUUUUAUAAAAUCAUGAAAAAAUUAAUUCUAGAUUGGCACCAAUUAAGUCAAUUAAAUGAAAUUAAUAAAUCAAAACAAAAUCAAGAAGAAUCGACAAAAAAAAAAAAAAAAAAAAAAACUGAACAAUUAUUAUUAACUGAAAUUACCAAUAUAACUAAAAAAAUUGACAAAAUAAAAAUAGAUUUAUUUGGAACUUCUGGCAACAUUUUUAAUAAAAAAAUAAAUGGUGCAAAACAAAUAAAAUUAAUUAAUCAACAUGCUUUGUUAAGAGCAAAAAAUAUAUUACUUGAUCAUAUUUUAAAUCCAAAUAAUGAUCCAGAUUAUAUAAAAUAUUAUCUGGAUAAACAUGAACCAUUAGAUUAUAUAGGUGGAGGUAAUCAUAAAUGUACAGAAGAAGAAAUAAAAGAUAAAACAAUUGCAUUAAAUAUGGUUGUUUUUCCAAUGAAACAACAAAUAGAUUCUUAUUCUUAUAAUAUGUCUAUAUCCGAAAUGGCAGAAAUGUAUCAUUAUUAUAUGACCGAAAUUAAUGGGCAAGGUAGAUCACAUCAAACAUUUGAAGAUGUAGUAGAAGAUAAAUAUCUUUGUUACGAAUUAAAAGAAGAAAGAAAAAAAUUCCCUGCACUUGUUUCUUUAUAUAAACCAUUAUGGACAAACAUUAAAUAUGGAGAAGAAUUUGGACAAGCUAUCACACCAAGUCAUAAAUUAGAGCUACACAAAUUAAAUAAGUUUAUGACCAAAUUAAAAAAAAAAAAAAAAAUAUAUAUAAACUUGGACAAACAGUCCAGUGAUAGUCAUGAUCACGAUCAAUACAAUUACAUUGACGAUUAUGCGUAUGUUGAUGAAGAGUAUGAUUUUUAG